rnacentral:lncRNA from 1 species
ACAUAAUACUUAUGUUUUGCACAAACCAAGUCCAAUCAAGAGGCGGAGAUGGGGAAAACUUCACGGAAAAGGUGAGUUUUGAGUUGCCCCUGUUAGGACUUAUAAGACAGGCUCCCUUAGGGUUUGCAGCAGAUGGAGUGUCUUUGCAGAUAACGGUGAUACCUAGAUCUUACUCUAGGUCGGUCCCUGUGCAGAGGGCUUCCCACGUGUAAUCCGAGUGAAGCCUCAAAACCCUUGUCUGGGGUACAGAAAAUGAGCACCUCUGUUUGUAAAGAGGGAAACGGAGGCUUUCAGAGGUUGGCCUAGGAGCGCCAGAAUACCUGGCUGCAUGUAAGAAUAUCUGAGGAGCUUUAAAAAACUACCCCUACCUGGGCUGCACCUGUUCGCUUUGAAGCUAAUCUCUAGAGAUGGGGCUUAGCCAUCUGUACCUUACACGGGUCGCCAGGUAAUUCUGAGGAACAGAGAGGGUUGGGAAGGAGUCGGUGAGAGGAAGUUCAGUGCUGCACUCAGCAUAGACCCCUUUAAACAAAUAUUCUGAACACACCAGCCAUCAUAGAGGACAAUUCAAGAAACUUCCCUGCACUUAAUACCCAGCGUACAACAAUCAACACGGCAGAUCUCGUUGGAGUCCCCCAUCUCAUCUCUCUCCCCCUCUUCUAGGAGGCACCACCCUGAACUUGAUGGUUUUCAUUACCAUGCAUUUCCUUACAGUACCUUUUAAAGGCUCACUUCCCUUUCCUCUACGGGAUGGGAUGCGUUGCAGCUGAGAAGCCCCGUGCAGAGGGGAAGCUGGGCCUCUCCACCCUUGGCGGACAGAGGGAAAAUAGAAUUUGCCUUGUGACCUUGACGUCUGUUUGGAUCCGGGAAGGUGACUGGCGUCUGGAACACGCUCCCUGGGCAGGAACUGUUUGCGCGCGGCCCGCAUCCGGGAUUUCAGGAAGACUCUUCAUGACAGAUGUCGGCUGA